AAAUCCUUGGAACCUGGAUACAGUUCCCGGCGGUUCAAGCGGCGGAUCUGCGGCUGCGGUUGCUGCGGGAGAAGUUCCGUUUUCUCUUGGAUCUG
rnacentral:tRNA from 3 species